GACUCGGGGCAGGUUUGUCCGUUGGGGACGUAACAGGAAGAUUGCGGGUUCGAUUCCCACCUUGUCCAUGUGUUGAAGUGUCCUUGGGCAAGACACCAAACGGUGAUUGGCUCUGAUGGAAGGGGGAGGUUGGGAAGCCGCAAAAGCCCAAAGAGGGGCCGUGCACGCCCCACAAUGAAAACCAGAAGUCAAGUGGUUAAAGAUGAAGAACUACGACAGGAGAAGGUGUUGGAACAGGAAGUGAUCGAUCAUCUCCAAACUCUUCCUGAAAACGAGGGAGUGUGGACUCAUCCAAAAUGAUCACACGCCACUACGCAAGGUUUUAAGCUUUUUGGCAUGUUCAAAACACAGAAGUACCAACAGUUGGAAACCAGAUCACAAAGGAAUAAUUAUCAAUAAUUGUAGUUUGUGUCCAGUCAGACUAAAAUGACUUCAAGACUGACAUUGAUGGGAACAAACAAAUUACCUGGAGCAAGAUUUGGAACCACUUGGACUUUUUGGUCUGAACCUCUACCUAUUGUAGGAAACGCUACUGAACAGUAAAAACACUAAAGAAGAAGAAUUCUCCUUCCUGCUGCUACCUGUGCGCUCAGUGUGAACACCACCUGCUGAAUGCAUGAUCAUGAAACCGCGUGGAUGCAGCAUCAAGUUGCAUGUAUCACAUAAUCAGUCAGCAAGAUUUGUGGUUGUUGAAAAAAUUGAAAAUCCAUAUGAUACGCCUGUUACUCACCUACUUCCCCCAAAUAAUGUGGAUUAUUUUCACAUUUUCUACUAGUUUUGCACAUACAAUGAGAUAGAAACAUGCUGGAAAACUGUCCAACCAAAGAUUUAAUAAACAGCUGAGAUCUGGAUCAGAUUUGUUGGCACUCGUUGACCUUUUGAUGGAGGAUUUGCUUCAGUAAAGUGACCUCAAUUGGUUUAUAAAAGACCAGCAAAUCACCAAAUGUGACAAUUAGCCAGCCGUUGGCUCUCCUUGUCUGUGCACGCUUCCUUCCACCUCUAAGCACCUUGGA